rnacentral:rRNA from 1 species
UAGGGAAUCUUCGGCAAUGGGGGGAACCCUGACCGAGCAACGCCGCGUGAGUGAAGAAGGUUUUCGGAUCGUAAAGCUCUGUUGUUAAGGAAGAACGAGUGUGAGAAUGGAAAGUUCAUACUGUGACGGUACUUAACCAGAAAGGGACGGCUAACUACGUGCCAGCAGCCGCGGUAAUACGUAGGUCCCGAGCGUUGUCCGGAUUUAUUGGGCGUAAAGCGAGCGCAGGCGGUUAGUUAAGUCUGAAGUUAAAGGCAGUGGCUCAACCAUUGUAGGCUUUGGAAACUGUUUAACUUGAGUGCAGAAGGGGAGAGUGGAAUUCCAUGUGUAGCGGUGAAAUGCGUAGAUAUAUGGAGGAACACCGGUGGCGAAAGCGGCUCUCUGGUCUGUAACUGACGCUGAGGCUCGAAAGCGUGGGGAGCGAACAGG